rnacentral:rRNA from 1 species
CCUACGGGAGGCAGCAGUGGGGAAUAUUGGGCAAUGGGCGCAAGCCUUACCCAGCAAUGCCGCGUGAAGGAAGAAGGCUUUCGGGUUGUAAACUUCUUUUAUCAGGGACGAAGAAAGUGACGGUACCUAAGGAAUAAGCCACGGCUAACUACGUGCCAGCAGCCGCGGUAAUACGUAGGUGGCAAGCGUUAUACGGAUUUAUUGGGGGUAAAGGGCGUGUAGGCGGGGACGCAAGUCAGAUGUGAAAACGCAGGGCUUAACCCUGGUGCUGCAUUUGAAACUGGUGUUCUUGAGUGCAGGAGAGGCAAGUGGAAUUCCGGGUGUAGCGGUGAAAUGCGUAGAUAUACGGAGGAACACCAGUGGCGAAGGCGGAUUUCUGGACUGUAACUGACGCUGAGGCACGAAAGCGUGGGGAGCAAACAGGAUUAGAUACCCCUGUAGUC